rnacentral:rRNA from 1 species
UACGUAGGUGGCGAGCGUUGUCCGGAUUUACUGGGCGUAGAGGGAGCGUAGGCGGACUUUUAAGUGAGAUGUGAAAUACUCGGGCUCAACUUGAGUGCUGCAUUUCAAACUGGAAGUCUAGAGUGCAGGAGAGGAGAAUGGAAUUCCUAGUGUAGCGGUGAAAUGCGUAGAGAUUAGGAAGAACACCAGUGGCGAAGGCGAUUCUCUGGACUGUAACUGACGCUGAGGCUCGAAAGCGUGGGGAGCAAACAGG